rnacentral:rRNA from 1 species
AGUGAACGCUGGCGGCAGGCCUAACACAUGCAAGUCGAGCGGCAGCGCGGGGGCAACCCUGGCGGCGAGCGGCGGACGGGUGAGGAAUUCGUCGGAAUCUGCCUUUUUGUGGGGGAUAACGUAUGGAAACUUACGCUAAUACCGCAUACGUCCUACGGGAGAAAGUGGGGGACCGCAAGGCCUCACGCAGAAAGAUGAGCCGACGACCGAUUAGCUAGUUGGUGGGGUAAAGGCCCACCAAGGCGACGAUCGGUAGCUGGCCUGAGAGGAUGAUCAGCCACACUGGGACGGAGACACGGCCCAGGGUCCUACGGGAGGCAGCAGUGGGGAAUAUUGGACAAUGGGCGCAAGCCUGAUCCAGCCAUGCCGCGUGUGUGACGAAGGCCUUCGGGUUGUAAAGCACUUUUGUCCGGAAAGAAAUCCCUGGAGCUAAUACCUUCGGGGGAUGACGGUACCGGAAGAAUAAGCACCGGCUAACUUCGUG